GCCUCUGUAGAUUAUGGAAAUCAUCUCGAGAUGUUUGUGCCUGUCCAUGUUUUGUAUCACGAGAAGACGUGGGUUCGACUCCCACCAGAGGCU